CAACGCUGGCGGCGUGCCUAACACAUGCAAGUCGAACGGAAUGAGGGGCUUGCUCCUCAUUUAGUGGCGCACGGGUGAGUAACGCGUAGAUAAUCUGCCUGAUGAUCUGGGAUAACAUUUCGAAAGAGGUGCUAAUACCGGAUAAGCCCACGACGGCUUCGGUCGAUGCGGGAAAAGGGGGGGACCUUCGGGCCUUCUGUCAUCAGAUGAGUCUGCGUACCAUUAGCUAGUUGGUAGGGUAAUGGCCUACCAAGGCUACGAUGGUUAGCUGGUCUGAGAGGAUGGUCAGCCACACUGGAACUGAGACCCGGUCCAGACUCCUACGGGAGGCAGCAGUGGGGAAUUUUGCGCAAUGGGGGAAACCCUGACGCAGCAACGCCGCGUGAGUGAUGAAGGCUUUCGGGUCGUAAAGCUCUGUCAGUGGGGAAGAAAUGGGGCUGGCUAAUAUCCAGUCUUCUUGACGGUACCCACAAAGGAAGCACCGGCUAACUCCGUGCCAGCAGCCGCGGUAAUACGGAGGGUGCAAGCGUUGUUCGGAUUUAUUGGGCGUAAAGCGCGUGUAGGCGGUUUCUUAAGUCUGAUGUGAAAGCCCUGGGCUCAACCCAGGAAGUGCAUUGGAUACUGGGAGACUUGAAUACGGGAGAGGGUAGUGGAAUUCCUAGUGUAGGAGUGAAAUCCGUAGAUAUUAGGAGGAACACCGGUGGCGAAGGCGGCUACCUGGACCGAUAUUGACGCUGAGACGCGAAAGCGUGGGGAGCAAACAGGAUUAGAUACCCUGGUAGUCCACGCCGUCAAAGUUUCAAAAU
rnacentral:rRNA from 1 species